rnacentral:rRNA from 1 species
GGAUUCCCCUAGUAGCGGCGAGCGAAGCGGGAAGAGCUCAAAUUUAUAAUCUGGCACCUUCGGUGUCCGAGUUGUAAUCUCUAGAAGUGUUUUCCGCGUUGGACCGCACACAAGUCUGUUGGAAUACAGCGGCAUAGUGGUGAAACCCCCGUAUAUGGUGCGGACGCCCAGCGCUUUGUGAUACACUUUCAAUGAGUCGAGUUGUUUGGGAAUGCAGCUCAAAUUGGGUGGUAAAUUCCAUCUAAAGCUAAAUAUUGGCGAGAGACCGAUAGCGAACAAGUACCGUGAGGGAAAGAUGAAAAGCACUUUGGAAAGAGAGUUAACAGUACGUGAAAUUGUUGGAAGGGAAACGCUUGAAGUCAGACUUGCUUGCCGGAGCUUGCUUCGGUUUGCAGGCCAGCAUCAGUUUUCCGGGGUGGAUAAUGACGGUUUGAAGGUAGCAGUCUCGGCUGUGUUAUAGCUUUCCGUUGGAUACAUCCUGGGGGACUGAGGAACGCAGCGUGCUUUUUGCGAAAGACUCGUCUUUUUCACGCUUAGGAUGCUG